UGGUUUUUUCUCCGGUUUUGGAGUUUCCACGUUAUUUUCUUGUGUUGUGAUUGUGUCUUAAUUUUUUAACUUAUGCUAUUUUUCCCAACAGGGCUAAGGACCCCAAUUGUCAAUAGAUCUAGGAAAAUGGUUUGAAAUAUCGCUAUCUCAACCCACUAACCUGUAACCUUCCUCACAUUUUCACCAAUCUUCAGAUAUAGAAGGAAUCUAUUGAUUCUACUCAUAGCACUCCCGUCCUAUCUAAACUAAGUAAAUUCAUAUCCUCCAUGAACUCACCAGAAUCCCCCAUUUGAGAAGAAUUUCAACCUCUAUUCACCCCUCGCCUUUUUUAUUUAUGCGAGACUGCAUUAAAAUCACCUCCCCAAACACCACUCCCACUUCUCACUGCCCCUCUUCAGAUCUACCAAAUUUGUCCACAACCUAUUUUUUUCUUCAAUUAAACAUGAAGAAUAUAUAUUUAUUAUAUAUGAAGAAUAUCCCUACUUUUCUAUACAAAUCCUCACGAAAACCAUCACCAUUCAAAUUAUAUUUCAUUGUAAACAUCGCAUCAUCCCUAACUAUCAGCACACUGCAUUGUUGCUCUUGCUCUUUGUAUCGCUCUUCAAGCUCCUACAUUUUUCAUGACACAUUGUCACAUGAAUAUUUUUUUGGACAAGAGAAUGCUUAUAACAUAUCAUUUAUAAUAAUGUGAUGAAUACAUAUUGGAAUAUCAAUCAUAAUAUAGAAACUAGAAAGUUAUUGGACCACUCUUGCAAAAGCGCGAACAACCUCGUUGACUUAUCUCAUAACAAGCUCAACAUGUGAAUUUCUAUAAAAUUU
rnacentral:lncRNA from 1 species